rnacentral:rRNA from 1 species
AACAAACAGGCCAAGUUAAGAUUUAUCACAGUAAAAAAGGAGGUUAGAAAUUAUAAUAAGGAAAUUUACAUUUUUUUAAAAAGUAAAAUUUGUACAAAAAAAUUUAAUCUAUUAUUUCCUUUUUUUUGACGCCUCGAAAUUUUGAUCAAAAACUGGGAUUAGAUACCCCACUAUUCAAAACAUAAACCCCAAUACUUUAAUUUACUUGAGUAUUACGAGCAAGACAAUAAUUUUUAUUCAUUAUCUGGUUAGCUUAAAACUCAAAAAACUUGGCGGUGCCUCAAAUCCUUCUAGGGGAACCUGUCCUAUAAUUGAUGAUCCACACUUUACCUUUCCUUAUUUAGAAUAUUGCCUAGGCAAUUAACCAGCCUGUAUACCGUCGUCGUCAGAUUACCUAUAAAAGACCAAAAGUAAUCACAAUAAAUAAAUAGUGCCAUUAUUCCAAUGACCUCCCCAUUUAUAACGUCAGAUCAAGGUGCAGCCUAUGAUAAGGUAGCGAUGGGUUACAAUAGCAACUUACUACACGAAUCUUCUGCUGAAAUGCAGAUGUUGAAGGCGGACUUAGAAGUAAUCUACUGAACAGAGAGCCUACUUGAAUAUGGUACUGAGGCGUGU